rnacentral:rRNA from 1 species
AACGAACGCUGGCGGCAGGCUUAACACAUGCAAGUCGAACGCCCCGCAAGGGGAGUGGCAGACGGGUGAGUAACGCGUGGGAACAUACCCUUUUCUGCGGAAUAGCUCUGGGAAACUUGUGCUAAUACCGAAUGUGCCCUUCGGGGGGAAGAUUUAUCGCCAUUGGAGCGGCCCGCGUUGGAUUAGGUAGUUGGUGGGGUAAAGGCCUACCAAGCCUACGAUCCAUAGCUGGUCUGAGAGGAUGAUCAGCCACACUGGGACUGAGACACGGCCCAGACUCCUACGGGAGGCAGCAGUAGGGAAUCUUGCGCAAUGGGCGAAAGCCUGACGCAGCCAUGCCGCGUGAAUGAUGAAGGUCUUAGGAUUGUAAAAUUCUUUCACCGGGGAAGAUAAUGACGGUACCCGGAGAAGAAGCCCCGGCUAACUUCGUGCCAGCCGCCGCGGUAACAC